ensembl:lncRNA
AUCUCUAUCUGGAGAUCACUCCUCUCGGAGCCCUUCCGCGAGCCCAGGACACGGGUGGUGGUGGAGAGCUGUGACCCGUUCGAGCCUAGUGAGGAUGUUCACGGACACAGCAGGAACCCACACCCACAGAUUCACUGUCCUAGUCGAAGCGGGAAGGACCGUUUUGACUAUUUGUCAACGCCCAGCUGGCAAUCUGAAUUUAUGAGCUGCUUUUGUGGAUGCGUUCCUGCAGGGUAAAGAAGGCCUCAAAACUUCAGCGGACCUCUACCCCCAAGAGAGCUCUGAAACUUAUGUUAAGAAAAGAAAUUGCCUAAUAUUUUUCUGUCUUCAAUAGUUUUAACUGUUGCUUUAGCUUGGCUGGAAAAAAAAGUUUGUAAAGCUAAUUGAAAAUCUUGAUGAAGGUUUUAGUGUUUCGGAUUGUUGGGUUUGUAUGGCUCUCCCGAGAAGUGUAGGAAGUAUGCCAAUUUAUGCAGCAGUUGCAGUAAAUUGGACAAUACUGGAUUAUGUAACAAAUCAGAUGGAAAACAAAGGUGGAAAUAGUAAAUGUGUGGAUGAAAAUCAGAGUAACGUAGGUCGUUGAGUUGAUUUUGUCAUUAUUACUAAUACCUGGUCCAUUUUUAUAGACAAGAAUGACGUCAGUGCAAACCAUAUAAACUUUGGGUGCAGGAACCUGUCUGGUGUAGUGUGUACUUGGGAAUAUGGCAAUUUUGGGAUGCUUAUGAGACAUAAUGAGACCGCUCGAUGGCAGCAAGGCAGGUACCAUGAUCCUAGGCCACUAGCAAUACAGUGUGGUCUGGAGAUAAAGAUAUAUUAGCUAUAGCAGGCAUGGGGACUGCAUCAAUGAAGCAUAGGCAGAAACGCUGUCAGGUCCCCUUUGGGUAUUGGUGGAUGUGUGGAAAUAGAUACGCAUGUAAAAUUCUCCCACUGAGUUGGAUUAGCACAUGAACAGCAGGUUAUCUGAUGCCUCAGACAAGUAUCUACACUCACUUAGAGUCACAAUUAGGAUUUUUUAAGAGCCAUGCAGCUAUACACUAAGAGAGGGAGUAAUCCACUAGUUGAAAGGACUAUGGAAUUCCAUAGUUUUGUUUGAUGGGUACUUUCAGCUGUCGGAGUCACUGAACUGGUACAAGCAGUUGUGAAUAUAUCAGUCACUAUGGAAAGAAUUGAGAACCUAAGUUUAGAAGCCAUCCAGGGUCUUCAGACAGAGAUCUCGUGCUGUAGUAAAUCAGUCUUGCAGACUAGAAUGGCCCUCAACCUUCUUACUGCAAAGGCAUGAGGGGUCUGUAUGAUUAUUAACCUAAGUCACUGUGCUUACGUGAACCACAAUGUACACGUAGAGAGUGAUUUAUAGGCAAUUUGGAGAAGCAUUUAAGAGCUACACCAAGUCUCCUUACAUGACCCUUCUGCUGGAAUCAUGGAUAUGUGGAAUAAGCUUUGUAACCGGCUGCCUAACUUUGUGUGGCUAAAGUGAGCAGCUGUAGUUGUACUGAUGAUCCUUGUUGUGAUAACCUGCAUAGGUGUGAGAUGUUCUUUCUGGUGCUAUUGAAAAAUGCUAGAUGAGCACUCCAUCUUGAAGAGGUACUGUGUGAAAUGUCAGAUAGAAACAAGGAAAAAGUUCUGGAACACAUUACUUGACAGUUGGGCACUGAAAGCAAAAGUCUUUGCAUAACAUAUAGAAAAGGGUGGAUUGUACCAACGAAAGUAUAAAUCUGGGCCUCAUAGUGUGUGCCAACUUGGGCAGGAACACAGAAAGCGGUGGAAUGUGAGGUCCGUGAGUACAAGGAAGAUAAGGACGCAGAGCUGACGACACGAUGGAAGGUCCAUUGAAGGUCAGCGGAGUUGCUCUUUGUAACUGAAUAUGCAGUCCCAUGAACAUAAGGAGGCAGAGCUGCUAUUGCUGAGCAUAAGUAAGUGAAGUUGCCAUUGCGACACAAUGCAAGCCUGACCUUCUGAAGUUGGAAGCUCCCAGCAAGGUAUGCUGAUCACCUUCAUCCAGCAAUGACCAGGGAACCGCGCCACUUCUUCAGAACCAUGACAAUAGGGUGGGCAAUGUGUUAAUAAUGUCUUAUAAUUCCACCCAUCUUUCUUGCAAUGUAAUUAAUGUUUGUAUGUUAUGUUUUAAAAUAUGUAACCAUUGUUAUCCUGGCUGUGUGAGUUAGGAGGAGGUUUCUCAUUGUGCUUUGUGUUGUAAUAAAAAUGCCUGCUGAGUGUUGUGUGAGUCCAUGUUACAAUUUUGGUAUGAACACAUGGCUUAUACCUGGCAUUCUGCUAUUGAGCAUUUGGGAAUGAAGAAAGCUUUUAUAGAGGGUGAUUUAGGAAGACGCCUGGAUGAAGUUGAAGGCUGCCAGAUUGACCGUCAUGAUGCUCAAAGAAUCAUAUGGAGUAGAAGCGAGCCUGGAGUAGAAGACUGGAAAUCUUAUGUAUCUGUCUUGGAGAGCAUAGGGACCUAGAGGGACAUGGGGGUCUGCCUGUGUUGAUCAUCUUGUGUGUUACUGCUGAGCAUGCAGUAUCUGUUGAACUAGCAUGGAGUCUGAAUUGUGUCAUCUUUGAAGCUGUUACAGUAGAAAUAUCCCCCGUGCUUUCUGGAAUUGAUAAUAAAGACUUCCUGCCUUAAUG